rnacentral:rRNA from 1 species
UAGAGUUUGAUCCUGGCUCAGAUUGAACGCUGGCGGCAUGCCUUACACAUGCAAGUCGAACGGCAGCGCGGACUUCGGUCUGGCGGCGAGUGGCGAACGGGUGAGUAAUACAUCGGAACGUACCCUGUUGUGGGGGAUAACUAGUCGAAAGAUUAGCUAAUACCGCAUACGACCUGAGGGUGAAAGUGGGGGACCGCAAGGCCUCACGCAGCAGGAGCGGCCGAUGUCUGAUUAGCUAGUUGGUGGGGUAAAGGCCCACCAAGGCGACGAUCAGUAGCUGGUCUGAGAGGACGAUCAGCCACACUGGGACUGAGACACGGCCCAGACUCCUACGGGAGGCAGCAGUGGGGAAUUUUGGACAAUGGGGGCAACCCUGAUCCAGCAAUGCCGCGUGUGUGAAGAAGGCCUUCGGGUUGUAAAGCACUUUUGUCCGGAAAGAAAUCGCGCUGGUUAAUACCUGGCGUGGAUGACGGUACCGGAAGAAUAAGCACCGGCUAACUACGUGCCAGCAGCCGCGGUAAUACGUAGGGUGCGAGCGUUAAUCGGAAUUACUGGGCGUAAAGCGUGCGCAGGCGGUUUUGUAAGACAGGCGUGAAAUCCCCGGGCUUAACCUGGGAAUUGCGCUUGUGACUGCAAGGCUAGAGUGCGUCAGAGGGGGGUAGAAUUCCACGUGUAGCAGUGAAAUGCGUAGAGAUGUGGAGGAAUACCGAUGGCGAAGGCAGCCCCCUNNNACGUGACUGACGCUCAUG